AGCAUUUUAAGCUUCCAGCAUGAUUGCUCCCUCCGUCUUCCAGCUCAGGGCUUCCAAGGCCUCCGGGACUUACUCACACACAAACUCAGGUCCACACACAUCCUCACCCAGAGACGUGAGGCAGCGGCGGUGUGCGGCAGUUCUUCCACGUCUGACCUGGAGCACAUCUUGCCUCAGAGCGUGUCUGGGCCACUCUCCGCGGUGCUCAGCAACUCGGCUGGGAGGAGUGGAGACCUUGGGUCAGACUCCAACCUGAGCUGUUUGGGGUGAGGCCUCCUGGCGGCUUCGGGGCUGCCGUGCACCCCGCGUCCUCAGCAUGGAUGUCAUCCCCGUUGGUCCCCUCAUGCUCAUUGCCGCUGUGGGGAGGAGGUGGCCCGAGGCCGGUGGCACCGCUCAGGACCCCGCCCCUGAAAGCUGCUCUCCCCUCGGGACGAGGUUGGCUGUUUGCAGUUGUCCUCUGCCUUCCCGCAAGACUCUCCCCAACAAACGUCCGCGCCCUAAGGCUGCGGGCACGGCUGAGGCCACGCGUCGUUCCCGCCUGGUGCUGCGCGGGGCGCAGUGAGCCUCUUCCCGGUGGGAACAAGCUCGUGCAGGCCAGGCGUCGCUGCGCUGUGCGGGUCGCCUGCCUCCUCCAGAACUGGGCUCUCGCUCUCUGAUCAUUUAGCAUUCUUGGCAGACAUUUUUAAAAUUAAAUUCCCUGCAGUGUUUUAAGUCCCCUUCCAAUUUCUUUUCAUGCAUUUCUCUUACCUGACAAGAAGCCUGAACAAAACGAAUCACCCGAGCAUCUCACUUAAAUUGCUGUUACCCGAAGGGAUUAACCCGCUACCAGACCAAGCUCAGGCCAGCCUUAAACCGCCUCCCACAGCCGAGCUUAAAAUCACGACUGCAGGAGAAACGACAGGCAGUGACUGCCGCACCUGCCACCGUGAAGCUUUGGGUCCACUCUCCCAGCCUCCCCUUCCCAUCCGGGAAUCUGGCAUUUCCGCUGUGCGUCUGGGUCUUUGAUUCCCUGGAGCAUCGUUUUCCUGUGUGGUGUGAGGAAGGGAGCUCGUUUUCCUGUGUGGUGUGAGGAAAACACGCAUGCCCAGGCGAGCAUGGCGGACAGCAGCGGCAGGAGGCGGCGGAAGGGACCUGGCUCAGCCGUAGUCACUGUGAUAGCGAGGCUCUGCCUUGUGAGCACUGUGAGCACCAUGCGUUUGAUGAGGAGGACCAACGCAUCGCGAGCACCAGAUCAGCAGUCGAAGAGCCCAGCAGCAGCAGCAGCAGCAGCAUCGCCCAGCGAGGUGUGUGGCGCCCGCUUUUGCUCCUGAUUUGAAGGUGAAGCCCCCAGCUCAGCGCACCGCGGGUCUCGCCUUCCUUCGUAAGUGGAAAUGAAAGGAGCCUGCAGCAGCAAGACGUCAAAAAUAAGAAACUCUCCUGCGCUCCUGCCUCUCGGAGUCCCAAGCCCACACGGCCUCCGGGCUGGGCACACCGCAGCUCGUCCUCAGCUCGCAGGCUGAAGUUCCCACAAAAGGAUUCUUUCAGCAUCUGCCCGAUUGCGAAAGGGCCGUGCUGGCUCUGGGAAGCGAACCAGAAGGCGCGCCGAGGCCUGCGGAGCUGCAGCAGCCGGCUCUCCCCACGCCCGCCCAGCUGGGAAGCUGGAAAUGAUCGCUCGCCCCGCAGCGUCGUUCUCUGCCCGGCAUCUGAUAAAAUGCCUGUCCCAUACCGUGGGCCCCCAGCAUGUUUUUGUCAAGAAUGUGGGGCUGAGGGAAUGGUGCAAAACCUCACUGUGCUGCCUCGGUAAUCACACGGGGCGGUGUCCAUGUGAGAGCUCGGGGGUCAAUUCCGAGUGGGACCCGGCCUCGUGCGUGAAUGCUGCGGCUCACGUGUGUGCGCGAGACCCGGGGUAUGACCGCACCACCGUCCCUUACACUGGUCAGCUGUUUGUGAAAGGAAGGCCUGGGGUUCCAUGGUGAGCGAGUGUGCGGCAUGUGAGGGGUGGCAGUGCACACACUUCAUAAGUGUGUGUGUGUGUGUGUGUAGUGUUGGGAACUCUGGUGUUCAGCUCUGAGACAGCAGCCAAGGUCAAGCACAACGCAGCGGACUCCGCCUCCUGGGAGGCUAGCUCUGCCUAGGCAUCAGGGUUUUGGUGUUUGGUGCAACUGAUUUAAACGCAAGGCCAGACACUGCCCCAUGUACUGGGAUACAUCUUCUUCCUGUGGUGACUUAGCAGGUCUUCAAGCCAAUGUAAUGUUGAUAAAUACUUGGUCACUUGGUACAGGCCGCAUGAUGCCUCGAGUCUCUCAGCAGGAAAAGCCCGACACAGGAAGUGAUGGUGACACCACCCCCUGGGUGCCUGGAGAUCGGGCUGGCUGUGAAGGCGAGGGCACCGCCCAGCCGCUCAGUAAGGAAGCACCCGUGUGUUCAGGACUCGGCCCCCCUUCUAGGCAGCAGGAGUGUUGAACCUGUGGCCUGGAACCCCUCAGUUGUUCAUUAGGCAUCCACCCAGGGACAGAGCCUCUGCCCAGCCUAAGCCCUGAGGGCCCAGGGACUGGCCCCGCCACCCGGCUCCUCACAAGCUCCUCACACACGCAUCUCUGGGCAGCAGCCUGGUGCUCCUGCUGAGCCCAGGCCCACACUCUUCGGCACCUUUCCUCUCUGGUCAUUUUUCCCUUGGUGUGUUGCAGGAAGCUCUCUCGGCCCCCGAAGCAUCACAUGCUCACCUUGCUCAG